UACGUAGGGUGCAAGCGUUGUCCGGAAUUAUUGGGCGUAAAGAGCUCGUAGGCGGUUCGUCGCGUCGGCUGUGAAAUCCCGAGGCUCAACCUCGGGUCUGCAGUCGAUACGGGCGGACUGGAGUUCGGCAGGGGAGACUGGAAUUCCUGGUGUAGCGGUGAAAUGCGCAGAUAUCAGGAGGAACACCGGUGGCGAAGGCGGGCCUCUGGGCCGAUACUGACGCUGAGACGCGAAAGCGUGGGGAGCAAACAGG
rnacentral:rRNA from 1 species